rnacentral:rRNA from 1 species
AUGCUGAGUACAGUAGCAAAUACUAAACCCGAUGUAGUGUGUUGUAAAGACACUUGUGCUUCUUUCAUCUGGAAAGGUGUCAUUUGGGCCUCCAAAUAUGUUAGAUUAGGGUGUCGCCGGAAGAUCGGUAAAGGUGACAUGACCAUGUUAGCAAUGGGACUUGUAUCAUAUUGCCAUUUGCCAAUGAGGUUAAUACAACUAUACAGGAUGUCUCAGAUGGCCGCCAAGUCAACUGUACUUUUUCGUAGGAGUUUUACCCCCGAAGCCUAUACAACAAUGUCAAAACCUAGAAAACCUACCUGUUAG